GGGUGAGUAACGCGUGAGGAACCUGCCUUGAAGAGGGGGACAACAGUUGGAAACGACUGCUAAUACCGCAUGACGCAUAGAGGUCGCAUGAUCUUUAUGCCAAAGAUUUAUCGCUUCAAGAUGGCCUCGCGUCUGAUUAGCUGGUUGGCGGGGUAACGGCCCACCAAGGCGACGAUCAGUAGCCGGACUGAGAGGUUGAACGGCCACAUUGGGACUGAGAUACGGCCCAGACUCCUACGGGAGGCAGCAGUGGGGAAUAUUGGGCAAUGGGCGCAAGCCUGACCCAGCAACGCCGCGUGAAGGAAGAAGGCUUUCGGGUUGUAAACUUCUUUUAAGAGGGAAGAGCAGAAGACGGUACCUCUAGAAUAAGCCACGGCUAACUACGUGCCAGCAGCCGCGGUAAUACGUAGGUGGCAAGCGUUGUCCGGAUUUACUGGGUGUAAAGGGCGUGCAGCCGGGUCUGCAAGUCAGAUGUGAAAUCCAUGGGCUCAACCCAUGAACUGCAUUUGAAACUGUAGAUCUUGAGUGUCGGAGGGGCAAUCGGAAUUCCUAGUGUAGCGGUGAAAUGCGUAGAUAUUAGGAGGAACACCAGUGGCGAAGGCGGAUUGCUGGACGAUAACUGACGGUGAGGCGCGAAAGUGUGGGGAGCAAACAGGAUUAGAUACCCUGGUAGUCCACACUGUAAACGAUGAAUACUAGGUGUGCGGGGACU
rnacentral:rRNA from 1 species